UGAGUUACCCCGGUCCAGGCUAGAGCGCCGCCAAGGCGUAAUCCCUGCCGUAAAUCAGGCCCCUUCUUCCGCUUGAAGGCUUUUCCCCGCCAAGCUAACCGCUGACGGCGGCUGUGGACUCUGCUGGUGGCUCAACGAAAAUUCUCAUGCAUUUCUUCCCCCUCACAGAAGCACUCCCUAUUCCUGAUAGUCAUCACGGAGCCACCUGCUGAUAAUCAAAGAAGGUUGAUGAUUUCUGGAAGUCUUCAGUGCUCCAUCAGACAAACCCUCCCUUUUGUCAUAAAAGCUACUCACCCUUUCUACUCCAGGAGCUGAAAGUUUUGUUUUGUAGUUGUGUGUUUUUUUCUUUGCCACUUUUUCCUUUGUGCACAAGCUAUCUCUUUUAAUAAAAAGCUUUUCUUGGGA